UGGGUAACCUGCCUCAAAGAGGGGAAUAGCCUCCCGAAAGGGAGAUUAAUACCGCAUAAUAUGUUUAGGUCGCAUGACUUUAACAUCAAAGGAUUUUUCUUUUAGAAAUUCCACUUUGAGAUGGACCCGCGGCGCAUUAGCUAGUUGGUGAGGUAACGGCUCACCAAGGCAACGAUGCGUAGCCGGCUGAGAGGUNAUCGGCCACAUUGGAACUGAGACACGGUCCAGACUCCGUAGGGACGG
rnacentral:rRNA from 1 species